rnacentral:rRNA from 1 species
ACGAACGCUGGCGGCAUGCCUAACACAUGCAAGUCGAACGAGACCUUCGGGUCUAGUGGCGCACGGGUGCGUAACGCGUGGGAACCUGCCCUUAGGUUCGGAAUAACUCCCCGAAAGGGGUGCUAAUACCGGAUAAUGUCUUCGGACCAAAGAUUUAUCGCCUUUGGAUGGGCCCGCGUUGGAUUAGCUAGUUGGUAGGGUAAAAGCCUACCAAGGCGACGAUCCAUAGCUGGUCUGAGAGGAUGAUCAGCCACACUGGGACUGAGACACGGCCCAGACUCCUACGGGAGGCAGCAGUGGGGAAUAUUGGACAAUGGGCGAAAGCCUGAUCCAGCAAUGCCGCGUGAGUGAUGAAGGCCUUAGGGUUGUAAAGCUCUUCUACCCGGGAUGAUAAUGACAGUACCGGGAGAAUAAGCUCCGGCUAACUCCGUG